GACGAACGCUGGCGGCGUGCUUAACACAUGCAAGUCGAACGGAAAGGCCCUGCUUUUGUGGGGUGCUCGAGUGGCGAACGGGUGAGUAACACGUGAGUAACCUGCCCUUGACUUUGGGAUAACUUCAGGAAACUGGGGCUAAUACCGGAUAGGAGCUCCUGCUGCAUGGUGGGGGUUGGAAAGUUUCGGCGGUUGGGGAUGGACUCGCGGCUUAUCAGCUUGUUGGUGGGGUAGUGGCUUACCAAGGCUUUGACGGGUAGCCGGCCUGAGAGGGUGACCGGCCACAUUGGGACUGAGAUACGGCCCAGACUACUACGGGAGGCAGCAGUGGGGAAUAUUGCACAAUGGGCGGAAGCCUGAUGCAGCAACGCCGCGUGCGGGAUGACGGCCUUCGGGUUGUAAACCGAUUUCGCCUGUGACGAAGCGUGAGUGACGGUAAUGGGUAAAGAAGCACCGGCUAACUACGUG
rnacentral:rRNA from 1 species